rnacentral:rRNA from 1 species
UACGAAGGGGGCUAGCGUUGUUCGGAAUUACUGGGCGUAAAGCGCGCGCAGGCGGCCUUUCAAGUCAGGGGUGAAAGCCCAGAGCUCAACUCUGGAAUUGCCUUUGAAACUGUCAGGCUUGAGUACGGGAGAGGUGAGUGGAAUUCCCAGUGUAGAGGUGAAAUUCGUAGAUAUUGGGAAGAACACCGGUGGCGAAGGCGGCUCACUGGCCCGUUUCUGACGCUCAGGCGCGACAGCGUGGGGAUCAAACAGG